rnacentral:rRNA from 1 species
AUCGAUGAAGAACGCAGCGAAAUGCGAUAAGUAAUGUGAAUUGCAGAAUUCAGUGAAUCAUCGAAUCUUUGAACGCACAUUGCGCCCCUUGGCAUUCCGAGGGGCAUGCCUGUUCGAGCGUCAUUUGACACCUCAAGCUCUGCUUGGUAUUGGGUGCCGGCCUGUCCAGGCCCACCCCCAACCCGUUGGCGGUAGGCGCCGGCUUCAAGCGUAGCAGAAACCUCGCUUGGGGACCGGCGGUUGCAGCCAGGAAAACCAAAUUUUAAAGUUUGACCUCGGAUCAGGUAGGGAUACCCGCUGAACUUAAGCAUAUCAAUAAGCGGAGGAAAAGAAACCAACUGGGAUUGCCCUAGUAACGGCGAGUGAAGCGGCAACAGCUCAAAUUUGAAAGCUCCCCACCGGGCGCGUUGUAAUUUGCAGAGGAUGCUUUGGAGACGUGCCUGGUCUAAGUCCAUUGGAACAUGGCGUCGCAGAGGGUGAGAGUCCCGUACGCGGCCGGGUGCCUAUCCGUGUAAAGCUCCUUCGACGAGUCGAGUUGUUUGGGAAUGCAGCUCUAAAUGGGAGGUAAAUUUCUUCUAAGGCUAAAUACCGGCCAGAGACCGAUAGCGCACAAGUAGAGUGAUCGAAAGAUGAAAAGCACUUUGAAAAGAGAGUUAAAAAGUACGUGAAAUUGUUGAAAGGGAAGCGUUUGCGGCCAGACUUUGCGGCGUUGCUCAGCCGGGCUCUGCCCGGUGCACUCAUCGCCCGCAAGGCCAGCAUCAGUCUGGGCGCCCGGAUAAAGGCCAUGGGAACGUAGCUCCCUCGGGAGUGUUAAGCCCUAGGCACAAUACGGGCCGCCCGGACUGAGGACAGCGUUCGCUAGGAUGCUGGCGUAAUGGCAGCCAACGGCCCGUCUUGAAACACGG